UUAUUUUUGAGUUAUUCAGUUUAACCGAAUAACCGAAAAAAGUUUUCAAAAUUGCAAUUGCAGAACACUUAAUUAAUUAAUUUUACUCAACCCAAAGCCCAUAACCCAUUAGUCAAGACGUAGUCUGCAGAUCAUUUACUACUUCAAAGUCAUUACUCAUUACUACCGAAAAAGUCUUUGAAAAUCAAGUCUCUCAAGUCUGCAGAUCUGUGCUACUUUACUAAAUUAUUCUCCGAGACUCCUCCGACGGCCGACCCUCCUCUUCUCAGAAGUCAGAUCUGUACUCAGAUCUUUCAAGAGUCUUUCAAGUCCACCUUCGAUCUGUACUCCUCGACGGCCGACCCUCUUCUUCUCAAAAGUCAGAUCUGUACUCAGAUCUCUUCGACGUGUUUGGCCAGGUAGUCAGGUAGACGUAUUGGCCUCUGGUGUAAGGUCGGCCACUAUGUUGACUGUUGUUGUUGUUGGCUCGGUUGUCUAAUGUCUCAGUUGGUGUUGGAUCAUUCAUAUUUUUGUAAUAUGUCUUGUUUGAUCAUUCAUGUUUUUAUAAUAUGUCUUGUUGAUUGUUGUUGAUCAGUCGUGUUAUUUUUUAUUGCUGUUGAAUCAGAUUCAUGUUGUUUUUUUUUAUUGAUGUUGGAUCAUUCAUGUACUGUUAUUCUGUUAAGUUAAGCAAAGUAAGAGUAAACUGUUAAAUUCGGUUAUUAACCGAAUAACCGAAUAAUUAGUUCGAUUUUUCGGUUAUUCGGUUAUUAUGUAGUUUGGUUAGUUAUUCGAAUAUUAUAAACAGUGUAAAUUUGAUUUUCGAUUAUAACCGAAAUAUGUAUUCGAUUCGGUUAUUAACCGAAUGUUCAC
rnacentral:lncRNA from 1 species